UAUCAGAUCUGGGCAUGGACAUGAAGUGGAGAAGGGAGGAAGAGGUGUAGGGAAGAAGAGAUGAUGUAAGAAAGAAGACCCACACAUCUCUCACGUCAAAAGCCUCACGCCCACUCUUCUUUUGUCGCACCAUAUUUAUUUUUUUCACUCACAAAACCACUUUUUAAUGCCUUAAAAGGUCAAAUCCCAUUUGAUCCUAGAUUUUAAAUCCAAAUCAAAGGGAUAGAAGGGCAUUGAGAUAAGGAUAUAUUGUAA
rnacentral:lncRNA from 1 species